GGCACAUGUUCAUGUCAUGCAAUGACAUUAGUAUAUGACCAAAGUGAUGAUAUGGCUAAUAUUCCUGGGAUGCAGGAGGAAGAAGAUUCAUUUGAAGCUUCUCCUCUGAACGUGGAUGAAAUGUGGUCGAGAAUAUAAGCUCUAGCAUCAGAUAAACCUGGGUGUGCACCCCAGCUCUGCCUCUCUGUGUGAUUCUGGGCAGGUUACUCAAUGUAUAUAAAUCUCUGUUUCCCCACCUGCCAAAUGGAGAUAACAGUGAGAUUCACCUCAGAGAUCUAUUGGAAGACUAUAUAAGCAUUGUAUUAGACUCUGAGGAGGAUAAAAUCCGAGCUUGCUUACCAUUUCACUGGAAACGCAGGU
rnacentral:ncRNA from 2 species